rnacentral:rRNA from 1 species
UACGUAGGGAGCAAGCGUUGUCCGGAAUCAUUGGGCGUAAAGCGCGCGUAGGUGGCCUCAUAAGUCCGCUGUGAAAGUCAAAGGCUCAACCUUUGAAAGCCGGUGGAUACUGUGAGGCUAGAGUACGGAAGAGGCGAGUGGAAUUCCUGGUGUAGCGGUGGAAUGCGCAGAUAUCAGGAGGAACACCAGUGGCGAAGGCGACUACCUGGCCUGUUUCUUGACGCUGAGGCGCGAAAGCUAGGGGAGCAAACGGG